rnacentral:tRNA from 1 species
GAGGGGAUAGCUCAGUGGCCAAGCGUGUGCUUAGCAAGCACAAGGUCCUGGGUUCAAUCCCCAGUGCCUCCA